GGUCGCAUGGUGUAGUUGGUUAUCACGUCAGCUUAACAAGAGUCGUCGUCAAUUGACGAGUUUAUUAGUUCCGCUGAAGGUCCUCAGUUCAAUCCUGAGUGCGAUCA